AUCUCUCAUCCCAUUGGCCCUUCUAAUAGAGCUAUUGGCAUUCACAUCCUAUUUUCAGCCCAAAUGUCAGUUCCUGGAGUACAAAGGCGGUGGCUGCUUCAGAUGCUUCAGACUGAAACUGCUCUUUGCCAUUCUCAUGGACACUGGAGAGUUAAGUUUGGUUAAAUUGAUGGCUUUUUCUUUUAAAAAAGAAAGAAUACACAUAUACCUUUGUGUACACACAAGCUAGGAAACAUCAAUCUAAUACAUGGAUGGCAAGAAAAACCAGAUCUAGCUCAUGCCAGUUACAAUGGUCUGUGAAGAUAAAAAGAUUUCUUCAGAUUUAUUUCUCAGCCAAUUUCUGCUUUUCCUAGGGAGAAAUUAAAAGUUUGUUAAAUACCUGUGUUUAGCCUUUUAUUAAUUUAGUCAGUGAAAUUAA
rnacentral:lncRNA from 1 species